CGGUGUCGGCGUCGGUGUCGGCGAAAAUGCAUCGUCGUCGGAGGCAGCAGAGAAGGAGGGAGAAGGAGAGACGGGAAGGGCAGGGAAGAGCGAGAGAGGCGCUGUCGUCGGAAACUGUGGAGGAGAGUCAGAGAAGAAAAGAAAAAAGUCACAGCCCGGCCUUAGGGGGAUCGGAGGCGAGGAAGGUGGGGGCGCCGGCGGCGACGCCGCUCUGUCUUCGCCGCUCUCUGGGAAGAGAAAGAAAAAAAAGAAUGAGAGAAAAAAAAGAAAAGAAAAAGGUAUAAGGGCACCUCCGCUCCGUCUUCGCCGCUCUCUGGGAAGAAAAAGAAAAAAGAACGAGAGAAAAAAAAGGUGAGAGAAAGAGGAAAGAGAAAAAGGUAUAAUGGUAUUUUGGUCAGUUUGCUGAAAAAGCGGUCCGAAUCUGCAAAAGCCAAAAAGAUGGCCCGAUUUUGCAAAAGCCCAAAAUAAGUGAAUUUUUUAUGCAAAUUAUAACUGAUAAUCUUCUAUUAUAAAAAACAACCUAUAAAUAUGAAAAACUUUGUACAUUCAAAACUGCGGAAGCCUAGCUCUCUCUCUCUCUCUCUCUCUCUCUCUCUCUCUAUAUAUAUAUAUAUAUAUAUAGUUUAAUGAUCAAAAUAAAAUUCGACUCUAUAUCCCG
rnacentral:lncRNA from 1 species